GUGCCAGCAGCCGCGGUAAUACGUAGGGUGCGAGCGUUGUCCGGAAUUAUUGGGCGUAAAGAGCUCGUAGGCGGCGUGUCGCGUCGGAUGUGAAAGCCCGGGGCUUAACCCCGGGUUGGCAUUCGAUACGGGCAGGCUAGAGUUCGGUAGGGGAGACUGGAAUUCCUGGUGUAGCGGUGAAAUGCGCAGAUAUCAGGAGGAACACCGGUGGCGAAGGCGGGUCUCUGGGCCGAUACUGACGCUGAGGAGCGAAAGCGUGGGGAGCGAACAGGAUUAGAUACCCUGGUAGUCC
rnacentral:rRNA from 1 species